AGUGAACGCUGGCGGUAGGCCUAACACAUGCAAGUCGAACGGCAGCACAGAGGAGCUUGCUCCUUGGGUGGCGAGUGGCGGACGGGUGAGGAAUACAUCGGAAUCUACUUUUUCGUGGGGGAUAACGUAGGGAAACUUACGCUAAUACCGCAUACGACCUACGGGUGAAAGCAGGGGAUCUUCGGACCUUGCGCGAUUGAAUGAGCCGAUGUCGGAUUAGCUAGUUGGCGGGGUAAAGGACCACCAAGGCGACGAUCCGUAGCUGGUCUGAGAGCAUGAUCAGCCACACUGGAACUGAGACACGGUCCAGACUCCUACGGGAGGCAGCAGUGGGGAAUAUUGGACAAUGGGCGCAAGCCUGAUCCAGCCAUACCGCGUGGGUGAAGAAGGCCUUCGGGUUGUAAAGCCCUUUUGUUGGGAAAGAAAUCCAGCUGGUUAAUACCCGGUUGGGAUGACGGUACCCAAAGAAUAAGCACCGGCUAACUUCGUGCCAGCCGCCGCCGUAA
rnacentral:rRNA from 1 species